rnacentral:pre_miRNA from 1 species
AGCGAGGUUGCCCUUUGUAUGUUCGGUUCAUUGACAUAGAAUAUACAAGGGCAAGCUCUCUGU